AUCCAAGUGCAGGGGUUUUACGCGUAUCAGUGAGGAUUCGUCCGAGAUCGCGUUUUUGCUAG
rnacentral:misc_RNA from 2 species